CCAAUAGCGUAUAUUAAAGUUGUUGCAGUUAAAAAGCUCGUAGUUGAAUUUCGGGGUCAGUAGGUUGGUCAUGCCACUGGUAUGUACUGAUCUUACUGAUUCCUCCUUCCUGAUGAACCGUAAUGCCAUUAAUUUGGUGUUGCGGGGAGACUGGACUGUUACUUUGAAAAAAUUAGAGUGUUUAAAGCAGGCUAACGCUUGAAUACAUUAGCAUGGAAUAAUGAAAUAGGACGUUCGAUCCUAUUUUGUUGGUUUCUAGGAUUGACGUAAUGAUUAAUAGGGAUAGUUGGGGGCAUUAGUAUUCAAUUGUCAGAGGUGAAAUUCUUGGAUUUAUUGAAGACUAACUACUGCGAAAGCAUUUGCCAAGGAUGUUUUCAUUAAUCAAGAACGAAAGUUAGGGGAUCGAAGACGAUCAGAUACCGUCGUAGUCUUAACCAUAAACUGUGCCGACUAGGGAUCGGAUGAUGUUGAUUUUUUAAUGACUCAUUCGGCGCCUUACG
rnacentral:rRNA from 1 species